CCACUUUGGUAGCACAUAUACGAAAAUUGGGCGAUACAGAGAAGACUAGCAUGGUCCCGUGCAAAGAUGACCCGCAAAAUUUGUGAAGUGGAAAAAAACCCC
ensembl:snRNA U6 U6 spliceosomal RNA